rnacentral:rRNA from 1 species
UACAGAGGUCUCAAGCGUUGUUCGGAUUCAUUGGGCGUAAAGGGAGCGUAGGCGGCGCGGUAAGUCGGGUGUGAAAUCUCGGAGCUUAACUCCGAAACUGCAUUCGAUACUGCCGUGCUUGAGGACUGGAGAGGAGACUGGAAUUUACGGUGUAGCGGUGAAAUGCGUAGAUAUCGUAAGGAAGACCAGUGGCGAAGGCGGGUCUCUGGACAGUUCCUGACGCUGAGGCACGAAGGUCAGGGGAGCAAACGGG